AGCGAACGCUGGCGGCAGGCCUAACACAUGCAAGUCGAACGGAUCCUUCGGGAUUAGUGGCGGACGGGUGAGUAACACGUGGGAACGUGCCCUUUGGUUCGGAACAACUCAGGGAAACUUGAGCUAAUACCGGAUGUGCCCUUCGGGGGAAAGAUUUAUCGCCAUUGGAGCGGCCCGCGUCUGAUUAGCUAGUUGGUGAGGUAACGGCCCACCGAGGCGACGAUCAGUAGCUGGUCUGAGAGGAUGAUCAGCCACACUGGGACUGAGACACGGCCCAGACUCCUACGGGAGGCAGCAGUGGGGAAUCUUGCGCAAUGGGCGAAAGCCUGACGCAGCCAUGCCGCGUGAAUGAUGAAGGUCUUAGGAUUGUAAAAUUCUUUCAGCGGGGACGAUAAUGACGGUACCCGCAGAAGAAGCUCCGGCUAACUUCGUG
rnacentral:rRNA from 1 species